rnacentral:lncRNA from 1 species
GAAGAGAGAAUCAACCAAGGGGAGAUGGUCCCAGAAGUCAAACAGAAGGGAGUGAUUCGCUGUGAUGAAUGCUGCAGAGGCCAAAUAAGGAAAAGAAGACAGCAAGAAGAAGCCACUUUGAGCCCCUAUGAUUUCAUCUUUGAUCCACUCAUCCAGCACUCCAUACUCCUUGAUCCCUACCCACCAAAUUCUCCUUAAAAGCCCUGGUCUCCAAAUGUUCAAGGCGACCGAUUUGAGUAAUAAAACUCUAGUCUCCCAUUUA